CCUACGGGAGGCUGCAGUGGGGAAUAUUGGACAAUGGGGGGAACCCUGAUCCAGCCAUGCCGCGUGUGUGAGGAAGGCCCUCGGGUUGUAAAGCACUUUCAGUGAGGAAGAACGCCUGGUGGUUAAUACCCAUCAGGAAAGACAUCACUCACAGAAGAAGCACCGGCUAACUCCGUGCCAGCAGCCGCGGUAAUACGGAGGGUGCGAGCGUUAAUCGGAAUUACUGGGCGUAAAGCGCGCGUAGGUGGCUUGAUAAGCCGGUUGUGAAAGCCCCGGGCUCAACCUGGGAACGGCAUCCGGAACUGUCAAGCUAGAGUGCAGGAGAGGAAGGUAGAAUUCCCGGUGUAGCGGUGAAAUGCGUAGAGAUCGGGAGGAAUACCAGUGGCGAAGGCGGCCUUCUGGACUGACACUGACACUGAGGUGCGAAAGCGUGGGUAGCAAACAGGAUUAGAUACCCUGGUAGUC
rnacentral:rRNA from 1 species